rnacentral:rRNA from 1 species
CCUACGGGAGGCUGCAGUGAGGAAUAUUGGUCAAUGGGCGGAAGCCUGAACCAGCCAAGUAGCGUGCAGGAUGAAGGCCCUACGGGUUGUAAACCUCUUUUAUACGGGAAUAACGGGCGUUACGUGUAGGGGUUUGCAUGUACCGUAUGAAUAAGGACCGGCUAAUUCCGUGCCAGCAGCCGCGGUAAUACGGAAGGUUCGGGCGUUAUCCGGAUUUAUUGGGUUUAAAGGGCGCGUAGGCCGCCUGUCAAGUCUGCUGUGAAAUGUCCGGGCUCAACCCGGGCCUUGCAGUUCGACCUGGCGGGCUUGAGUCGGCGGAAAGCAGGCGGAAUGCGUGGUGUAGCGGUGAAAUGCUUAGAUAUGACGAAGAACCCCGAUUGCGAAGGCAGCUUGCUGCAGCGGAACUGACGCUGAGGCUCGAAAGCGUGGGUAUCGAACAGGAUUAGAUACCCGAGUAGUC